rnacentral:rRNA from 1 species
AGCGAACGCUGGCGGCAGGCCUAACACAUGCAAGUCGAACGAAGUCUUCGGACUUAGUGGCGGACGGGUGAGGAACACGUGGGAACGUGCCUUUAGGUUCGGAAUAACUCAGGGAAACUUGUGCUAAUACCGAAUGUGCCCUUCGGGGGAAAGAUUUAUCGCCUUUAGAGCGGCCCGCGUCUGAUUAGCUAGUUGGUGAGGUAAAGGCUCACCAAGGCUACGAUCAGUAGCUGGUCUGAGAGGAUGACCAGCCACAUUGGGACUGAGACACGGCCCAAACUCCUACGGGAGGCAGCAGUGGGGAAUCUUGCGCAAUGGGCGAAAGCCUGACGCAGCCAUGCCGCGUGGAUGAUGAAGGUCUUAGGAUUGUAAAAUCCUUUCACCGGUGAAGAUAAUGACUGUAGCCGGAGAAGAAGCCCCGGCUAACUUCGUGCCCGCCGCCGCCGUAAGAC